CUUUUUAUUUUUCUCAACCACACACGUCUCUCCACGCACCCACACCUCUCCUUCAUGAAAAACACUAUCGAUGAAGUUGGGAUUUCUGGUUUUAUUGUUCUUCCAGCAAACUUCGAGAAUUCAUCAAGCAGUAGGAACACAUCACUGAUGAAGCUAGAAAAAAUUCAGCAAAACUUAGAGGAAAUUGUGCAACAGAUGCUUCUCUCCCUUGUGUUAGGACUUAGGGUAAAAUCAGCAAUAUAGAGAUUCACAAUUGUGCAUAUUUCCCAGAUUUGUUAGAGGAAACUUAGUAGGUAGAGAUACAGACAUCUCUGUAUUCCAGCUUAUAAAGAGGUAAUUUGGAUCUCUUUGUUUUGAACACAGAACAACAAAAUGAUCCUUCUCUUCUUUCUGCUUGUUGUGACGUUGUGAUUUAUAUGAUUUGGACGCAAUCUUGAAGUUCUGUUCUCUUCAAGGUUGGAACAGCUGAGGCGGGGUGUGGAGGACCACAUGCAUGUGAAAAUCGAAUGAAUCACUAAAAAGACUCAUGGAUGAGUUAAAGAAUAAUUGUGAACGCAUGGAUGAGCUAGAGAGUAAAUAUGAAAAACUUACAAGAGUAUUGCUUGGUCAUCCUUCAACACCACCAUCAUCAAGUGAUAAAUAGAUGGUCCCAUUCAACAGGAAACACAUAAUUUUCCUUAUAACCUAUAGUUUCUGUUGACUCAAGCAUUUGAAUAUGUUGUUCAAGAAUGUAUGGAGCAAGUUGAAGAUCAAGAGUGCUUUUACUUUGGUUAAGGGUGUCAUUCAAGAAAGUACGGAGAAAGUUGAAGAUCAAGAGCGCUUUUACUUCGGUUAAGGGUGGUCGAAAGACUAUUUUGUUUUAUAUAUAUAUGUUGGAACUUUUUUCUUGUUAGGAGUUGAUAAAUAUAUGUCAGACCACUUGAUAUAUCUUUCUUUAUUUAGUUUUUGUAAUAACAAUGAAGUUUUAUAUGAUGAAUUAAAUUGUUUCAUAUA